GGUUUCGAAGCUUGGUGGGAAGAAGCACCUGUCUAGCAGAUUGGGAGUCGUGGGUUCGAUUCCCACCGGAGCAU
rnacentral:tRNA from 1 species